UACGUAGGGCGCAAGCGUUAUCCGGAAUUAUUGGGCGUAAAGAGCUCGUAGGCGGUUUGUCGCGUCUGCCGUGAAAGUCCGGGGCUCAACUCCGGAUCUGCGGUGGGUACGGGCAGACUAGAGUGAUGUAGGGGAGACUGGAAUUCCUGGUGUAGCGGUGAAAUGCGCAGAUAUCGGGAGGAACACCAGUGGCGAAGGCGGCACUCUGGGCCGGUACUGACGCUGAGACGCGAAAGCGUGGGGAGCGAACAGG
rnacentral:rRNA from 1 species